GACGAACGCUGGCGGCGUGCUUAACACAUGCAAGUCGAACGGCAAGGCCCUUCGGGGUACUCGAGUGGCGAACGGGUGAGUAACACGUGGGUGAUCUGCCCUGCACUUUGGGAUAAGCCUGGGAAACUGGGUCUAAUAUUGAACAGGACCACGCGCUUCAUGGUGUGUGGUGGAAAGCUUUUGCGGUGUGGGAUGGGCCCGCGGCCUACCAGCUUGUUGGUGGGGUAAUGGCCUACCAAGGCGACGACGGGUAGCCGGCCUGAGAGGGUGACCGGCCACAAUGGGACUACGGUAGGGCGCAGACUCCUACGGGAGGCAGAAGUGGGAAAUAUUGCACAGUGAGCGCAAGCCUGAUGCGGCGACGCCGCGUGAGGGAUGACGGCCUUCGGGUUGUAAACCUCUUUCACCAGGGACGAAGCGUAAGUGACGGUACCUAGAGAAGAAGCACCGGCCAACUACGUG
rnacentral:rRNA from 1 species